GCACCCUGAUCCAGCCAUGCCGCGUGUGUGAAGAAGGCCCUCGGGUUGUAAAGCACUUUCAGCGAGGAAGAACGCCUAGCGGUUAAUACCCGCUAGGAAAGACAUCACUCGCAGAAGAAGCACCGGCUAACUCCGUGCCAGCAGCCGCGGUAAUACGGAGGGUGCAAGCGUUAAUCGGAAUUACUGGGCGUAAAGCGCGCGUAGGUGGCUUGAUAAGCCGGUUGUGAAAGCCCCGGGCUCAACCUGGGAACGGCAUCCGGAACUGUCAAGCUAGAGUGCAGGAGAGGAAGGUAGAAUUCCCGGUGUAGCGGUGAAAUGCGUAGAGAUCGGGAGGAAUACCAGUGGCGAAGGCGGCCUUCUGGACUGACACUGACACUGAGGUGCGAAAGCGUGGGUAGCAAACAGGAUUAGAUACCCUGGUAGUCCACGCCGUAAACGAUGUCGACCAGCCGUUGGGUGCCUAGCGCACUUUGUGGCGAAGUUAACGCGAUAAGUCGACCGCCUGGGGAGUACGGCCGCAAGGUUAAAACUCAAAUG
rnacentral:rRNA from 1 species